UCGGGAAUUUUGGGCAAUGGGCGAAAGCCUGACCCAGCAACGCCGCGUGAGGGAUGAAGUAUUUCGGUAUGUAAACCUCGAAAGAAUGGGAAGAAUAAAUGACGGUACCAUUUAUAAGCUCCGGCUAACUACGUGCCAGCAGCCGCGGUAAUACGUAGGGAGCAAGCGUUGUUCGGAUUUACUGGGCGUAAAGGGCGCGUAGGCGGCGCGGUAAGUCACUUGUGAAAUCUCUGAGCUUAACUCAGAACGGCCAAGUGAUACUGCUGUGCUAGAGUGCGGAAGAGGCAACCGGAAUUCUUGGUGUAGCGGUGAAAUGCGUAGAUAUCAAGAGGAACACCUGAGGCGAAGGCGGGUUGCUGGGCCGACACUGACGCCGAUGCGCGAAAGCCAGGGGGGCAAACG
rnacentral:rRNA from 1 species